CCGAAAGGCGUAGGCGAUGGACAACGGGUUGAUAUUCCCGUACCCGUGUAUCCGCGCCCAAUGCUGAAUCAGUGGUACUAACUGUCCAAAUGUCAGGUGAUCGAGCCUUCGGGUGAGACGCAGGACGGCUGCACAGGACCUUCGCUGUAGUAGGUAAGCGAUGGGGUGACGCAGGAAGGUAGCUGGGCCAGGUGAUGGAAUACCUGGUGUAAGCGUGUAGGGCGCAACAUAGGCAAAUCCGUGUUGCACAUAGCCUGAGACGUGAUGCGUACCCGUUGAGGGGAAUUCAGUGAUCCUAUGCUGCCGAGAAAAGCCUCUAGCGAGCUGGUACACGGCCCGUACCCCAAACCAACACAGG
rnacentral:rRNA from 1 species